AAAGACAGCAAAUAUUUUUCAUUGCGUCGGCCUCAGUUUGAGUGUGCUUUGUCAGGUCUUCACCUCCUGCUUGCUGUGUUUUAUGUGUUUUAUAAAAGUAGGAGCCCAAGGCAGCAAGCAUGAAAAUGUUGAUCUGAAUUGCUUACAUCACUGACUGUCCCAGCUCCGACUUUCUGAUCAACUCGACUUUUUCAUCCACAACCCUGCUGAUGUUUCUCAGGGGACUGACCUGAUGUCAGUGCACAUGAGGAACCUUCCUUCACCAUCUCCCGGGGCUAUUGCCAAAGUCUCCAAAACCAGUGGAACAAAAGAGGGACCUCCUCUGAUGGGAAGAAUCUGAACUCCAGUUUGAUAAGAUAAGGGAGCGUCAUGAUCUGAAAUGAAGGACAUGGUCCACCCAGGCAGAAACACUGGAGGAGGGUGUGAAGCAAAGCCGAUGAGAGGCAUGGCCUGGGGAGAAAAGAUGUGACUGAUGAGGAUGUGUGGAUUGAGGGCCAGACAUGCCUGAGGUUCCCCCCACUGGCUUAAUCCAUAAUAUAUUUGUUAGUCUUUAAAGUGCCACAAGAAUCUUUGUUGUUUUUGUGGCAAUGGGUGACUACAGCUCUCUCCGCCUUCUGAAAACGGUUAAAAUGGAAGAGCUUUAUUUUUUCAUCCUGACAUUCUGUGAUUCUUGUUAGAGAUUUUCCCUCCCGCCUUCUGAUUUACACAGUGUUGUUGAUAAGAGACCCCGUGUCUCUCAAAGGGGCAGGAAAUAUAUCUUGGGAAAAGAAAAUAUAUCUUGGGAAAAGAAAAUGAAAUGCAAAAUGAGUAAUCCACCACUAGAGGGCAUUGAAGACUGGAUCGUGUGAUGUGGUACAGUUUUCCCGUGUUCAUCUAGCCUGCAGAAACUGCUGCAUUGAAUCCCAUGGAUCCAUGGACUGAAGGCAUGGCAUGAGGAUCAAAAUGGGAUACUACAGCCCAAGGAUAAGUAAGCAAACAAGGAUGAGUCCAUGCCUCAAAGCAAGGCUUCUGAAUGUUCUCUGUCCUCCAAGUGUGUGCAGAGCACUGAAGGCCCGAGAAUGUCUGCAUGAAACUGCAUGGGGAAACUGUUGGUUGAACAACCAAACGUUUAUAGCAAUGGGUUAUAGCCAGUUAAGUUCUACUCAGAGUAGAUCUAUUGAAAGUAGUGGACCUUAGUUAGCCAUGUCCAUUAAUUGCAAUGGGUCUAGUCUGAGUAGAACUAACCCAAUGUUUUCCACAAAGAAGACAUGGGAUAUGUAGUUUUAAUGUUUAUUUUCUGUGUACAUUUAUUACUUUUCAUUUGAUUUUAACAUUGGGGAAAAAUUUCUAAGGGAGAGGGCUGUGAUUUACCAGUGAAAUUCAGAACUGUAAGUUUCUUAAAUUUGUACAUAGUUUUAUUUGGGUCUCUCUCUGAGCUAAUUUCUGUUGAAGUUACCUUGUGUUAGUUUAUACAGAUAGGUAGUUUCCUUUGUCAAACUCUUGUUUUGUGACAGUCUGAUGGCUUGUUGUUAUACGCCUUCAAGUCGAUUGCGACUUAUGGCAACCCUGUGAAUCUUUCUUUUAUAUAUUCAUAGGGUUUUCAUGGUAAGAGGUUUUCAGAGGUGGUUUACCAUUGCCUUCCUCUAAGCCUAUGGCACCUGGUAUUCCCAGGCGGUCUCCCAUCCAAGUACUAACUAGACCUGACCCUGCUUAGCUUCCGAGAUCAGAUGAGAUUGGGCAUGUUCAGAAUAGCAUGGCCAUAGACAGUCUGAUGGCUAGAUACAAAUAAACAAACUCCACCUCUUCACACUGUUGGGCCAAACACUUCUGAGUCAUUUCCCCUUGCAGGACCAGAGCACACAGCGCAGACUGCUGCAGAAUAAAUAGUAACUGGACAAGAAUGUUCCAGUGCAGCUUCCUCAUCUGACAAAUAGUGAUAGCAUGAUUAUAUCACCCAACAGGUGAAUCCCCAAACACUGGCUUCAAAGGGACCACCAAGUGAGUGCCCACCCAGGAAGAGAAUGGGGAGAUGGGUAGAGGGAUGGGGAAGAAAUUUGAUUCAGUUUGCAUUUAUUGAUUAAUUGAUUGAUUAAACUUCUAACCCGCCCUUCCUCCCAGAAGGAGCCCAGGGCAGCAAAGGACAAAACACUGAAAACAUCUUAAAACAUCUCAAAAAACAAAACGUUUUAAAAAUAAAACAUCUUAAAAACAUCUUUAAAAAACAAAAACAUAAAAAGUAAUUCCAACACAGAUGCAGUGUGGGUUAAGAUCUCUAUUUAAAAGGCUUGAUGAAAGAGGAAGGUCUUCAGUUGGCGGCAAAAAGACAACAGAGAUAGCGCCUGUCUAAUAUUUAAGGGGAGGGAAUUCCAAAGGGUCGGUGCCACUACACUAAAGGUCCGCUUCCUAUGUUGUACGGAAUGGACCUUCUGAUAAGAUGGUAUCUGCAGGAGGCCCUCACCUGCAGAGCGCAGUGAUUAACUGGGUACAUAAGGUGAACUGACCAUAUUUAAAGGGACUUGCUAUUUAACUGUGAACUUACGGAAUUCACAGUUUUUGAAACAAUACCCCAAAUGAAACACAAGAAGCCUUUGAAAUUUGCCCUUCUCUGAACUUUGUAAUGCGGUUCUCCAGCCA